AUUGAACGCUGGCGGCAGGCUUAACACAUGCAAGUCGAGCGGGGGAAGGUAGCUUGCUACCGGACCUAGCGGCGGACGGGUGAGUAAUGCUUAGGAAUCUGCCUAUUAGUGGGGGACAACAUCUCGAAAGGGAUGCUAAUACCGCAUACGUCCUACGGGAGAAAGCAGGGGAUCUUCGGACCUUGCGCUAAUAGAUGAGCCUAAGUCGGAUUAGCUAGUUGGUGGGGUAAAGGCCUACCAAGGCGACGAUCUGUAGCGGGUCUGAGAGGAUGAUCCGCCCCACUGGGACUGAGACACGGCCCAGACUCCGACGGGAGGCAGCAGUGGGGAAUAUUGGACAAUGGGGGGAACCCUGAUCCAGCCAUGCCGCGUGUGUGAAGAAGGCCUUAUGGUUGUAAAGCACUUUAAGCGAGGAGGAGGCUACUCUAGUUAAUACCUAGGGAUAGUGGACGUUACUCGCAGAAUAAGCACCGGCUAACUCUGUGCCAGCCGCCGCAGUAA
rnacentral:rRNA from 1 species